GCCAGGUGUGGUGGUGCACACCUGUAGUCCCAGCUACUCAGGAGGCCGAGGCAGGAGAAUCACUUGAAGCCGGGAGGCAGAGGUUGCAGUGAGCAGAGACUGCACCACUGCACUCCAGCCUGGGUGACAGAGUGAGACCCUGUCUCAA
rnacentral:SRP_RNA from 1 species